GAAGGGCCCGAGCGUUGCGCGGAAUCAUUGGGCUUAAAGCGUACGCAGGCGGGCGCGCAGGCGUUUUGUGAAAUCCCUCGGCUCAACCGAGGAACUGCUUGACGAACCGCGCGUCUUGAGACAAGUAGGGGCUGUCGGAACGAUAGGUGGAGUGGUGAAAUGCGUUGAUAUCUAUCGGAACGCCGAAGGAGAAAUCAGGCAGCUGGGCUUGUUCUGAUGCUGAGGUACGAAAGCGUGGGGGGAGCGAACGGGAUUAGAUACCCCGGUAGUCCACGCCGUAAACGAUGUGCACUAGAUCGAGGGGGUUUCUGACGCCGCUCUCGGUCGAAGCAAAAGUGUUAAGUGCACCGCCUGGGAGUACGGUCGCAAGGCUA
rnacentral:rRNA from 1 species